rnacentral:lncRNA from 1 species
AGCCAUUAGAGAAUGGGCCUAAGGAUGAGGUUAAAGAGGAGAAAACAGAACAAGACUUUGUUCUUAAAAGUCACUGAUGUAUUGUCUCAAAUCUGGAACUUUCAACCUCCAAUUUAGAGGAGGUAAAUUACAUUUAUUGCUUAAGCCACUGUAGUUGAGUAUUCUGGUCCUUGAAGUUGAGUGUUCAGAUUCAGAUCUCCCUAAGGAUUGAUCUUUGGUCAACAGUUCUCUGAACAUCUGCUCAUUGAUUGUUUUAUUCUAUGAAAACUGAACAUGAGACAAUCUAUGAGCAACCAAUAAUUUUCUUGCAAAAGUUUGAAUAAACUAAGGAAUUGCUCCUCUAAACCCAAUUUGACCAUUGAGGAUGACUUGUUGUUAAGCAAACCAGGUGAUUCAGUGCAAAGUUGGUCAUCUGUUCAAUAUCAUUUGCCAUUUACUCCUCCCUCCUUGUAAAAGAAUUCCAAUUUUGUUCUGACAUCUAACCUGCACAAGGACCCAAAGAGGGAUCCUGUUUAAGCCAAUCAUUGCAAAGCAUUCUGUUGACAAUUAGGCAUUAAACUUAUGAACCUAGUCUAUCCUAAAAUGUAACCAGUCUCCUACACAUUAAUUAGUGUUGAGAUCUUCCAAGGCACCAAUAUGGUCCAAAAUCUAAACAAAUUACUUUUCCAAAAGAGGGAACUAGUAAAGAACGAUUUAAAAUGUCAAGACUGAAACUUUGUUCAGUCCUUGCCUUUCAGAAAGUUAAAAAUAAAAAACCAAAACUUUGGAGCUCCUGUUGUAGCUCAGUGGUUAAUGAAUCCGACUAGAAAACAUGAGGUUGUGGGUUCGAUCCCUGGCCUUGCUCAGUGGGUUAAGGAUCCGGUGUUGGUGAGCUGUGGUGUAGGUCACAGACAGGGCUCAAUUCUGGCGUUGCUGUAGCUGUGACAUAGGCUGGCAGCUACAGCUCAGAUUGGACCUCUAGCCUGGGAACCUCCAUAUGCCUCAGUUGCAGCCCUAAAAAGACCAAAAAUAAAUAAAUAAAUAAAUAAAUUAAUUAAUUAAAAAACAAAAAUCCUUAUUUUGGAGAUUUCAUUGGAUGAGAUAAUUAUCUUUCUGCUUUCUCCUUAGGAAAAAAUAUCCAGAACACAAGUUCCCAGAACAAUGCAAGAACAUAAGAAAUUUGUAUUAUAAGAUUUGCUGGCAUUUCUGCUGUGGCACAGUGGGUUAAGAAUCCGAUUAGUAUCCAUGAAUUUCAAUCCCUGGCCUCGCUCAGUGGGUUAAGGAUCCAAUGUUGCCCCAAGCUAUGGCACAGGUCACAGAUGUGCUUGGAUCUGGUGUGGCUAUGGCAUAGGCUGGCAGCUGCAGCUCUGAUUUCAUCCCUAGCCUGGGAACUUCCAUAUGUCACAGGUGAGCCUGUAAAAAAAAAAAAAGAAUCCGACUCCAGAGGCUUGGGUCACUUUGGAAGUGUGGGUUCGAUCCCCAGCCCAGGCACAGUGGGUUACAGGAUCUGGUGUUGCCGCAACAGCAGCUUAGGUUGCAUAUGUGGCUCUGAUUCAGUCCCUGGCCUGGCAACUUAACUUCCGUAUGCCAAGGGUACAGCCAUAAAAUUUAAAAAAAAAUUUUUUUUGCUGACACUACAAUUGUCCCUCUGUAUCCUGAGCAAUUGGUUCCUGGAGACCCUAUGGAUAUCAAAAUCUGCAUUUGCUUAAGUCUCUUAUAUAAAAUGGUGUAGUGUUUCUAUAUAACCUAAGCACAUCCUCAUCCUCACAUGUACUUUAAAUCAUCCCUAUAUCACUUUAAUACCUAAUGUAAAUCUUAUGUAAAUACUUGAGGAAAUACGGAACUCAGGAGUUCCUAUUAUGGUGCAGUGGAAAUGAAUCCAACUAGGAACCAUGAGGUUGUGGGUUUGAUCCCUGGCCUCGCCCAGCGGUUUAAGGAUCUGGUGUUGCUGUGAGCUAUAGUGUAUGCUGCAGAUGUGGCUCGGAUCCUGCAUUGCUGUGGCUGUGGUGUAGGUCGGCAGCUGUAGCUCUUGAUUUGACCCCUAGCCUGGGAACCUCCAUAUGCUGUGAGUGUGGCCCUUAAAAAAAAAAAAAAAAAAAAAAAAAGCAAAGCUAUGGAACCCAUGGAUAUCCUAUAAGAAAAAUAAACAAACACCAUGUAAGGAUGUGAGGAACACCAAAAGAAACACAGCUGAAGAUUUUUAACCAGGGAUAUAUAUUUUCUAACAAAUUAUAAAUACUUUUUAUUUAGCAAAGUUCAUCAAAGAACUCCCAAAGUCACUGAAUCUUCUUCACUUCUCAGGAAUUAUUCAUUCACAACGCAGACCACCUACAGAAAAAGAUGUAUUUUAGUAAGUCAGGUAUCAAGCAUCAUGCCAGACCUAUGGAAUUAGGGAAUUAAUACACUAGAAAUGAAUGCUUCAGCCAAGUACUGUUAACUGCUUAACUGGUUAUUCUAAACCAGUCAUGAAACAAAGAUACACAUUUUAAAAUUCUAGUUUUAUUUUAUUUUUUUAAUUUUACGGCCACACCCACAGCUUAUGGAAGUUCACUGGCCAGUGAUUGAAUCCAAGCCACAGCUGCGACCUACACUGCAGCCACAGCAACACCAGAUCCUUUAGCCCACAGUGCUGGGCUGGGAAUCAAACCCACACCUCUGCAGCAACCCAAGCUACCACAGUUAGUCUAGUUGUGCCACAGCAGGAACUCCUUAAAAUUCUAGUUUUAACUAAAAACAUCACGAGGAGUUCCCAUUGUGGUGCAGAGGAAAUGAAUCUAACUAGUAUCCAUGAGGAUUCAUGUUUGAUCCCUCCCCUCGCUCAGUGGGUUGGGGAUCACGCAUUGAUGUGAGCUGUGGUGCAGGUCACAAAUGCAGCUCAGAUUCUGCGUUGCUGUGGCUGUGGCGUAGGCCGGCAGCUAUAGCUCUGAUUUGAGCCUGGGAACUUCCAUAUGCCACAGGUGUGUCC